AGCGAACGCUGGCGGCAGGCUUAACACAUGCAAGUCGAACGCCCUGCAAGGGGAGUGGCAGACGGGUGAGUAACACGUGGGAACGUACCCUUUGGUUCGGAAUAACUUGGGGAAACUCAAGCUAAUACCGGAUAAGCCCUUAUGGGGAAAGGUUUACUGCCGAAGGGUCGGCCCGCGUCUGAUUAGCUAGUUGGUGAGGUAAUGGCUCACCAAGGCGACGAUCAGUAGCUGGUCUGAGAGGAUGAUCAGCCACACUGGGACUGAGACACGGCCCAGACUCCUACGGGAGGCAGCAGUGGGGAAUAUUGGACAAUGGGGGCAACCCUGAUCCAGCCAUGCCGCGUGAGUGAUGAAGGCCUUAGGGUUGUAAAGCUCUUUUACCCGGGACGAUAAUGACUGUACCGGGAGAAUAAGCCCCGGCUAACUUCGUGCCAGCCGCCGCGGUAA
rnacentral:rRNA from 1 species